AUUGAACGCUGGCGGCAUGCCUUACACAUGCAAGUCGAACGGCAGCACGGGCUUCGGCCUGGUGGCGAGUGGCGAACGGGUGAGUAAUACAUCGGAACGUGCCCUGUUGUGGGGGAUAACUAGUCGAAAGAUUAGCUAAUACCGCAUACGACCUGAGGGUGAAAGCGGGGGACCGUAGGGCCUCGCGCGUUUGGAGCGGCCGAUGGCAGAUUAGGUAGUUGGUGGGGUAAAGGCUUACCAAGCCUGCGAUCUGUAGCUGGUCUGAGAGGACGACCAGCCACACUGGGACUGAGACACGGCCCAGACUCCUACGGGAGGCAGCAGUGGGGAAUUGUUCACAAUGGGCGCAAGCCUGAUGACGCAACGCCGCGUGGAGGAUGAAGGUCUUCGGAUUGUAAACUCCUGUUGCUCGGGACGAAAAGCCUCGACCUAACACGUCGAGGUCUGACGGUACCGAGUGAGGAAGCCCCGGCUAACUCUGUGCCAGCAGCCGCCGUAAGAC
rnacentral:rRNA from 1 species